UGCUUGUAUGACCAGAUGCACUGGUACUUCCAGUUCUUUCAUGAAUUCUUUUCUAAUGUGUCUGCUUUUAUAUGAACACUUCUCUCUUUCUUCCAAUAGGAAAGGGCAUGUUCAUUCAGCCAUAUUCAUUCAUCAGUAGGAGGCAGUCAGUUUAAAUGAGUGAUUAUUGAGGAUACGAGAUGUGUUGGAAGAGACAGCUCACUGUGUGGAGCAUGUUAUGUUGAUGGUUUGAGAAAAGCAGUUGUAGAAGUGGUAGGCUGCCUUUAGGGAUGUAUGCCUACUGACGAGUGACAUACUGUGUAACUGUUGUAGUAGGGCUGCAGGACGAAUAGUCAUAAUGUGAAUGACAAGAGUCUGCUUAAGUUUGAAGUGUUUGUAAAGGAUGUAUGUUCAGGAUUCUGCUGAUCACAACAUUGGUUAAGCUUCUUGUUAAUAAACUGUGCCUUCUGUGUGGUGACAGAAAUUAGAUUUGAGCAUGCUUGUUUGGUUAUGUGGUUUGCUGUAUGAGGAGGUCAGACAUUCUUUGCUAAUGUCCACCACCGAUAUGAAAGAGGAAAUGAUUGUGGCUAUAGCGGAAAGCUAUGUUAUGAUGUAUGUAUUGGAAGGAGCAGGAAAAACUGCAAAUAUUUGAGAAGUUAUCAAAAAACUUAAGAUUAUAAAAGAAUAGUUGAAACAGUAGUGACAAAAUGAUAGUACGUAUAUCUUUGAAAUGACUGGAAGGGGAUUGAGCAAGAUGAUGAUGAAUGAAGAUGAGAAGCUGUCAGAGUGUGGUUAAUUUGCAGGCAUGUCAUCCUUGACUUGGAGAAUGUUUACCCAGGUCAUGUGUAUCAUUUGUUUCAUUGCAUGUAAUUUCUGCAUUAUAAUGGUACGAGAUGUUGCAGAUGAAGCAGAGAAUAUAAAAUCAUGUCAUGACACACUAUCAGAUGAAGCUGUGUUGUGAUUUUUUAAAGUGAAGUGGCAUGAGGAAAUUGACUAUGAUUGCUUUUGAUUAUAGGAAAAUGGUUCCCUCUCAACUAAGGUAUUGUGAUGCUUUUUCAUAAGGCUGUAUCCAUCUUUUUGUGGCUAGAAGUGGCAUAGUUUGUUUCAGGACAAAUCUUUGCGCAGAAGAAACGGUACUAUUACCGUUGCAGCCGUGAUGUUUUAUGUAAUGUAUUGGUUGCAACAAGUGAAACGAAGAGUUGAUAUAUUUGCCUGUUGUUGAAAUUUAUGUAAUGUUCAGUUCUAAACAUUUGUAUUGAUCUAUCUUUUAAUUACAGUGAGUGUAACAUGUAGAUACAUAACUUGAUAUGUCUAGUAUUAGUGGAUAUGUAACGUAUAUUACUUACAUUCAUAGUGUGAAGCUUUGAAAUACAGGCAGUUGUAGGCUGCAGAGUGAUGGACUGGAGGGUUGGAGAGUGAAGAGAAGAGAUGAGAUGUAGGAUGGUUAACACAGAAUAUUUCUUGUGAUCCAUUGAAUACAGAUCAUGGAAUGGGGAGGUAGUAGUGUCUGCAGUAAUGUUAGUAAGCACAUGGAGUUGGUAUGU